AAAUCCUUAAAGGUACAGGGACAGUAACUUACAUUAUUGUUGGUUUUAUUUUUUUUCUCUAAGUUAACUGUAGUUUAAUUAUUCUUAUCUAGGAAUAUUAUUCCUCUCUUCUCUAAGAAAAUUUUUCCUCUGAUUAAAAAGAUAACUUCAGAAGUGUAUUAGUUAGGGAUCUGUGGAGAAACAGAAGGCCCGAGAAGUUGGAUGGAUAUCUGAGCUCAAGCAGAAAGG
rnacentral:lncRNA from 1 species